GGAACUUCAACGCACUUCUGCUCUCCCCCAUAUUCCAUCUUCACAAGCAUAUCCUGUGUGGAGAUUGAAUAAAAAUUAGUUGACACUAAUUAAUGGCACAAAUAAUCCAGUAAACAAUUGCAGCACAGUAAAAAAGAAAAAGGAAUCCUCUUUGAGCCAUUACUUGUGUAAAGUAUUUUCCCAAAAGACAAAGACACAGGCAACAGGUAAUACUGAACUAAAUGUAAAACCUCAACCUUUUUCAUUUUUACCUAAACCGUGUGCACAAAACUCUGGAGGGAUCUAUGCUAACGUAGAAUCCAGUCAGGACGUCAGCUACUGCUGUUUGCUCGUGUUUUUUUUUAAAUUUUUUUUAUUUUUAUUUUUAUUUUUUUUAUUUUUUUAUGGGCGAUCGGUUUCAGGCUUCAAGUAGCACCAUUAUACCAACAUUUCACAUUCUACACAUUGUUUUAGGUGUAUUUGACCAAAGGUUUGACUGAAAAUUCACAUGCAAGCUUUUUUCAAGGCUGUGGUAUUUGCCCGCAAACAAUACCUUUCAGCUAGCUAAAACAGAAUAUUAUGCUAUCACCGAGCAACAUGGCUAAUGCCUUUCACACAGCUUUGUCUCAACUCCAAAGAGCCACAGAAGUAAAAGCUCAUAAUAAUAAUUGAAACAAUCUUUGAAAAAAUGACUUACCAAGCAUGGCAAACAACUCAAAUAUGUAGAGCAAAAUGUUCUGAAACGGCUUCACUUCAGCUUCGAUUGGAGCCGUGCUGGGGGCGGAGUCUGUGAAUUUACUCUGUUGGUGUCAUAGCCCCUCUAGGAGUUCAGAGUUAAGAGGUCAAGAGUUAAUGUUUCCAUUGUAACACCUCCAGAUUUGACAGAGAAACACUCAUUUUUAACACUCGAUUUCAACUACUAUCAUUUUACACCUCAGAGUUACAUUAAAAGAAUGUGACUCUGCUUAGAGUAAAAUUAACUCUACUUUUGCAAGAAGACUAUUAACACCAAAACAUUUAACACUUUUGAAUUUGCU
ensembl:lncRNA